rnacentral:rRNA from 1 species
UACGGGGGGGGCAAGCGUUUGUUCGGAAUUACUGGGCGUAAAGGGCUCGUAGGCGGCCAACUAAGUCAGACGUGAAAUCCCCAGGCUCAACCUGGGAACUGCGUCUGAUACUGGAUGGCUUGAAUUCGGGAGAGGGAUGCAGAAUUCCAGGUGUAGCGGUGAAAUGCGCAGAUAUCAGGAGGAACACCAGUGGCGAAGGCGGCUAACUGGUCCGGUUCUGACGCUGAGGCGCGAAAGCGUGGGGAGCAAACAGG